rfam:Rattus norvegicus chromosome 10, whole genome shotgun sequence.
GGGGAUUUGGCUCAGUGGUAGAGCGCUUGCCUAGCAAGCGCAAGGUCCUGGGUUCGGUCCCCAGCUCCG